UACGUAGGGUGCAAGCGUUAAUCGGAAUUACUGGGCGUAAAGCGUGCGCAGGCGGCUUUGCAAGACAGAUGUGAAAUCCCCGGGCUCAACCUGGGAACUGCAUUUGUGACUGCAAGGCUAGAGUACGGUAGAGGGGGAUGGAAUUCCGCGUGUAGCAGUGAAAUGCGCAGAUAUCAGGAGGAACACCAAUGGCGAAGGCAGCUCGCUGGAACGGUACUGACGC
rnacentral:rRNA from 1 species